rnacentral:tmRNA from 1 species
GGGACUGUCAGGUUUCUACAUGUUAGUACUUCUUAUGAAGAUUGAAAAAUUGAGUUAAGUUUACUAAACUUGACUCAACUAAAAUAAUAAAUGCAAAAAAUCAAAUUAUUCCUUUCUCUCGGAGUCUAGCUGUAGUCUAACAACUACUUUAUUUUAGCCUCUAUCGCAGCUUCGAGUAUCAGUUGUAGAAUCUAUACUCUAACAACUGAUUAUAACUAAAAUAUAUUGCUCUUGAUUUUAUACUCAGUUAUACCUGAGCACUGCAAGUAAAGUUAAAUAUAGGUUGAAACACUUCAAUUUCUAUGUAUCUAUAUGACAUAGAUACCUUCUAAGAUUACGUUAUUAACAUGGACGUGGGUUCGAGUCCCACCAGUUCCA